rnacentral:piRNA from 1 species
UACCUUUCACCACUCCUCACCUCCUACUCUUU